rnacentral:rRNA from 1 species
CAGCAGCCGCGGGAAUACGUAGGUGGCAAGCGUUGUCCGGAAUUAUUGGGCGUAAAGGGCUCGCAGGCGGUUUCUUAAGUCUGAUGUGAAAGCCCCCGGCCCAACCGGGGAGGGUCAUUUGAAACUGGGAAACUUGAGUGCAGAAGAGGAGAGUGGAAUUCCACGUGUAGCGGUGAAAUGCGUAGAGAUGUGGAGGAACACCAGUGGCGAAGGCGACUCUCUGGUCUGUAACUGACGCUGAGGAGCGAAAGCGUGGGGAGCGAACAGGAUUAGAUACCCCAGUAGUCCCUGUCUCUUAUAC